GGAAAACUAGACUAUGUCCAUAGCAUGCGAACACGCUAUGGAGCAGAUUUUGUUGUCAUGCUCGUCGAUAAAUCCCGAUAUUGUGGAAUGGGCUAUCGACCCAGUUCUCCACAAGCUGAUUAUGCUUUCAGCCUAAUA
rnacentral:ribozyme from 1 species